UAUUUUAAUAUGAUCUGCGCAGGAAUGUACUGAACAUCUAUCCUCCACCAUGUUUACUUUCUAACAGGUGAGGAGACUUGUAAAGACAGACAGCAGCAGAAGUAGGAUUGGAUGGCCAGUGGUGCAGAGGGGUGUCGUCUAAGCUCAGCCAUGUGACUGCCCAGGGCAAUGCUGACAGCUGCACAGAAAGCUCACAACUUCCCUCCAGAAGCUGAAGAAAAGUGAACACCCAAUCAUGUUAGUAGCAAUUUGGUGUGACCGUUAGGAACCCCAUUUGCUCAGUUUUAUUUAAGUUUAUUUGAUCAAGGAACAUUGCAGGAUGGUUACUGUUACAGUUAAAAACACAUUAUAGAUUAAUCAGGUGUCGAUAGCACACAUGCAUUUGUUC
ensembl:lncRNA